rnacentral:tRNA from 1 species
AGGGGUAUAGCUCAGCUGGUAGAGCAUCGGUCUCCAAAACCGAGGGUCGUGGGUUCGAGUCCCUCUGCCCCUGCCA